rnacentral:lncRNA from 1 species
GUCCACGGAGAUUUUCUAACGCAUCAAACCCCGUGGAAGAUUGAACUAUAAAUGAAUACGAUCUUUAAUUUGUUGGAUUAAAUAGGCCAAUAUUCUGUCCUGUGGUGGGAGGCCAUAUAGGCAGAGUCAUUUUCAAAAUGGCAUGAGGCUGGGUUGGGCCGAGUCAUAUUCGAAGUGGCGUGAGGCUGAUUCGGCCGAGUCACAAUCGAGACCCGUGGGCUAUAUCUGUACGUUUUAAGUGAAUUGGUUGCGUAUUUCUAACAGCUCGAAUUUUUGGGAUUAAUGGUUAGCAUCAACGAUCCGACAAGUGGUAUCAGAGCCAGUGGUCACGGGUUUGAUUCCCGCAUACUGUAAAUAUGUGCAGGUGCUGGAUGGGGGAUUGUUGGUUUAAAUGGACCAGCAUUCUGCAAUGUAGCGGAAGGUCAUGUGGGCCAAAUCAUGUUCGAAAUUGCGUGAGGCUAGGUUGGGCCGAGUAAUGCGGAAGGUCAUGUGGGCCAAAUCAUGUUCGAAAUGACGUGAGGCUAGAUUGGGCCGAGUAAUGUUUGAUGUGGUGUGAGGCUGGUUGGGCCGAAUCACAAUCGAGAUCCGUGGGCGCUGUAUCUGUGCGCUUUAAGGUACCGUUUGGUUCGAGUAUAAGAAAGAACUAGCUAUUACAGGAAUAGAUACAAGUAUGGGGAUAAAAAAAAUAGCGUUUGGAUAGAUAAUAUGGAAUAAGAAAAAUAUUAGGUAGUUUUGUAUAGAAAAUGGAGGUGUUGGUGGGAAUAGUUAUAACCGGUUAUUAUAGGUAACCGAGAACUACUGUUCUCGGAUAAAAAAUUAGUAUUUGGGUAUAAAGGGGGAUAAGGGCCUAUCCCUAUCCCUAUCUCCUAACCAAACACUGUCUAAGUGAAUUAGUUGUAUAUUUUUAACAGCUCAAGCUUUUGGGAUUAAUGGUUAGCGCCAAUGAUCCGACAUAAUUUAUCGUUCAAGAUCCUCUAGAAGCAAUAGGCUAAUGAAAGAUAUGAUUUCU